UUGCAAUUCUUAAUAGUGAGACUCCAUUGAUUUUCUACUUGGUGAGAUUCCUAAAAGGCCUUAGUGAGAUUCUAUGGUUUCUAUUUGUCUUUCUUAUCUUUCUUUUUGUUUAUUUUGUUUUACUUUUCCCUUCUGCCAUAAAAUUUUAUUCCUUGUUUCUAUUAAUAAAUCUUAAAAGAUUGAAACCCUAGCCCACCUAUUUGAUUGUAGCCUUGUAGGCAACCAUCCUAGGGUUUCCUACAUUUGUUUUGGUAUUAGAGAGAAAGUUAUUGGCUUGAAGAUUUUACUUGAGUUGAACAACUUACACAACCAUGAUUGAAGGCUAUAAUUUUUUUAUGCAACCAUUGGUGAUUAUACCAAGUGAAAAAAGAAGAGGAUUGGCAAUAUACUAGCAUCGUCCUAACUUGUAUUGCUUGCCAAAGGAGAUUAUGCACUAUGAUUAUUGAUAGAGGUGGUAGUUCCAAUUUAGCUUAAAAAAACCAUGGGUUUUUUAUGAAAGGUUCCAAUAUAUGAUGGCUAUGAGAACACUUGUGUGCAAUAAGCAUAAGAAGAUUCUUUGUCCAAUGAAGGAAAUUUAACCACUUAAGCAACAUGGAAAAAUUAACAUCCUUCGAACCAAAAGAACCAUCAAAGACUCCCACAAGCAAUUCAAAGCUGCAAGUAAGGAGGAAGAAAUCCUCAAUGAUGAAUCUAGAAUGCAACGGGCAGUGGUCUAUCCAAAAAAAGAAUGCAAUGGGCAGUGGAACCAAUCCUAGAACAACCCAUAUGAGUACUCAAAGAAGUGCAACAUUAUUUAAGACAAAAUAUUAUUAUGAUUGGUGGCAAACAUGAAGAAUCCUAUAAUGGUAUAAUAUGAAUUGCUGGAAUUUUCUUUUGAAUUUAAGGAAUUCAAGAAUCUCAUUCUUCUACAAGAUUGUUUACAAGAAGAGUCUAGGAAGUAACUUGCUACAAGCUUGCUGAUGAAUCAAUAAUUUCGAGAACUAUCAACUUGUUUCAGAACAUUGGAAAAUCUUUGGAAGUUUGGUUCUUGCCUUGCAUGAACUUGAAUAAGUUCAAUAGAUCUUGAGAUCCUAUCUUAUCAUGGUAAAGAAUCGACAAAGAAAGAAAGGGUGGAAGGCAUUGCUCGGGAUUUUAAUUGAUUGUGGAAAAUCACUAAAACUCGAGGUUAAGUUUUUUUUUUCCAAGUCCAAGGGAAUUGAUGAGGAUGAAUCUCCAAGAUCUACUAAAGAAAGGGAAGAAAAGGAAUAAAUAAACUUUAAGUGACUUUGUAUUAGUCGGUGUUAAAUUAGGAUUAGUAUUUGUUUUAGUUAAAUUAGGAGUAACUAAUUAUUAGAAUCAUAAUUGGAGAAUUGGAAUUAGUCUCAUAAUAGGUUAUUAGAAUCCUAGUAGAAUUUGGAUUUCUUAGAUAAGCUUAUAACUAAGGCUAACUGAUGUAAGACCAAGAUAGGGUGAUUAAAUAAUAUUAGUUCCUUCUGCAUACUUUGCAAUUCUCAAUGGAUGAGACUCUUUAAUUUUUUCUUUUCUAGGUGAGAUUCUUAUAGAGCCUUGCUCCUCUCUUGAAACCCUAAAACAUAAAACCCUAGCCCACCUAUUUGAUUGUAGACAACCAUCCUAGGGUUGUCCUACAUCAAGGGAACUCAAUCAAUACCUAUGUUUGAGUUAACUGAUCACCUGCCAGCAUGACUCUGGCAUUCAUGUGUGCCAGCUGCUUCAACUUUAAAGGGCUGAAUCUCCAUUUUGCAAUCUUUUUCAUGCUCUCUCCUCACAUUGCUUCCCAGACACCAGGAAAUCUCAUUUCUAUGCAAGUUUUAUCAUAUAUUUUUUUUUUACCAAAAAGAAAAAAAGAAGGAAAAAAAAAAGAGAGAGAUGGUUUUUAGUCUCCCAAAGCCAGUGAAUACAUGAUAAGUUUCAUUCAUUCGUAUUCCAGCAACAUCUAUGCCAACAUCAUGAAAAA
rnacentral:lncRNA from 1 species